GCUGAGCCGCAGUGACUUCGCGCUUGUGUCCUCUUGUUGUUGUACUCCGUCUGUGGAAGCGCAGCCGUUUUUAUAGAGCCUCCCUGGUUCUGCGCAGAGCAGGUUCACUGCAUCACGACCGGAGGGGAGGGAAUCGCGCUGCCCCUGUUUGAUCGCUUUCAGAAGCAGCGUCAUGUUCAGAAGAUGAAACCAAUUUUCCUUUUUUUUGGCUCCCACGUUUAAUCUUUCACCACUUCGACUAUUUGUCAUUUCUCGUGGAGGCAUGAAUGAAGUAAAGCAGGGAACUAGUCAAGGAUCAGCACCCAGAAGCAUCCACACAGAAACAACCACAAACUUUAUUAGAUGUUACACAACCAGGCCGCACUCGGACCUCGUCGGAGCCAAGAAAUGUGUUCAGGAAACAUGUCAGCGCCUCCACGCUCCCACUUAGUUCCAGUCACCGUGAAGCAAAGCGCUGCUGACGCCCUCAGGACCGGAUCAGAACCUGCUGGUUCCACGUACUCGUAUCAUCACGAACCAGCAGAACCUGUUGGUUCCACGUCCUUGUAUCACGUACUGAACCAGCAGAACCUUCUGGGGUCACGUCCUCCUCAUCCUGAACCCAUGAAGGACGUGGUUGUAGUGAAGCAGACGACGUUCAUCUGA
rnacentral:lncRNA from 1 species